GAUGAACGCUGGCGGCGUGCUUAACACAUGCAAGUCGAACGAUGAAGCCCAGCUUGCUGGGUGGAUUAGUGGCGAACGGGUGAGUAACACGUGAGUAACCUGCCCUUAACUCUGGGAUAGGCCUGGGAAACUGGGUCUAAUACCGGAUAGGAGCGCCUACCGCAUGGUGGGUGUUGGAAAGAUUUAUCGGUUUUGGAUGGACUCGCGGCCUAUCAGCUUGUUGGUGAGGUAAUGGCUCACCAAGGCGACGACGGGUAGCCGGCCUGAGAGGGUGACCGGCCACACUGGGACUGAGACACGGCCCAGACUCCUACGGGAGGCAGCAGUGGGGAAUAUUGCACAAUGGGCGAAAGCCUGAUGCAGCGACGCCGCGUGAGGGAUGACGGCCUUCGGGUUGUAAACCUCUUUCAGUAGGGAAGAAGCGAAAGUGACGGUACCUGCAGAAGAAGCACCGGCUAACUACGUG
rnacentral:rRNA from 1 species